rnacentral:rRNA from 1 species
UAACACAUGCAAGUCGAGCGAAGCGGUUUCUUUGAAGUCUUCGGAUGGAUUUGAAAUUGACUUAGCGGCGGACGGGUGAGUAACGCGUGGGUAACCUGCCUUACACUGGGGGAUAACAGUUAGAAAUGACUGCUAAUACCGCAUAAGCGCACAGGGCCGCAUGGUCCGGUGUGAAAAACUCCGGUGGUGUAAGAUGGACCCGCGUCUGAUUAGGUAGUUGGUGGGGUAACGGCCCACCAAGCCGACGAUCAGUAGCCGACCUGAGAGGGUGACCGGCCACAUUGGGACUGAGACACGGCCCAAACUCCUACGGGAGGCAGCAGUGGGGAAUAUUGGACAAUGGGCGAAAGCCUGAUCCAGCGACGCCGCGUGAGUGAAGAAGCAUUUCGGUAUGUAAAGCUCUAUCAGCAGGGAAGAAAAUGACGGUACCUGACUAAGAAGCCCCGGCUAACUACGUGCCAGCAGCCGCGGUAAUACGUAGGGGGCAAGCGUUAUCCGGAUUUACUGGGUGUAAAGGGAGCGUAGACGGUUAAGCAAGUCUGAAGUGAAAGCCCGGGGCUCAACCCCGGUACUGCUUUGGAAACUGUUUGACUUGAGUGCAGGAGAGGUAAGUGGAAUUCCUAGUGUAGCGGUGAAAUGCGUAGAUAUUAGGAGGAACACCAGUGGCGAAGGCGGCUUACUGGACUGUAACUGACGUUGAGGCUC